GUCCCGCACUCGGGUCCCGGCUNGGAGCCUCCCUGCUCCAGCCUUCCCGGGCGUCGCUGGUGCCACCUGUGCGCUGCGGCGCGUGCCACAGCUCCUCGGAGCCCCUUUUGUCCUGCAGUAGGCCUUGUUAGAAGUCCUCCUGGNGGGGCUCGGGGUCGUGGGGGGUGGGGAGAUGAACGCUGCAGCCAGCAGCUACCCCAUGGCCUCCUUAUACGUGGGCGAUUUGCACUCGGACGUCACCGAAGCCAUNCUGUAUGAAAAGUUCAGCCCUGCGGGGCCUGUGCUGUCCAUCCGGGUCUGUCGCGAUAUGAUCACCCGGCAGCACUCUCUGGGUUAUGCCUACGUCAACUUCCAGUAGCCAGCUGACGCUGAGAGAGCCUUGGAUACCGUGAACUUCGAUGUGAUAAAGGGAAAGCCGAUCCGCAUCAUGUGGUCGCAGAGGGAUCCCUCUUUGAGAAAGUCUGGGGUGGGAAAUGUCUUCAUCAAGAACCUGGACAAAUCCAUAGACAACAAGGCACUGUAUGACACUUUCUCUGCCUUUGGAAACAUCUUGUCCUGUAAGGUGGUCUGUGNUGAGAACGGCUCUAAGGGCUAUGCUUUUGUUCACUUCGAGACCCAAGAGGCCGACAAGGCCAUCGAGAAGAUGAAUGGCAUGCUUCUCAAUGACCGUAAAGUGUUUGUGGGUAGAUUCAAGUCUCGCAAAGAGCGGGAAGCGGAGCUUGGAGCCAAGGCCAAGGAAUUCACCAAUGUUUAUAUCAAAAACUUCGGAGAAGAGGUGGAUGAUGGGAAUCUGAAA